UAUCUUUAAAUAAUAUUGAUUUAUUCUUACAUCAAGACAGAUAAAAUCAACACUAAUACAUACUAAAGUUUAAACCGACAAUAUCCAAGUGAAUAUAUGCAUAAUUAGUAAUAUUUAAGUGCACAAGACAAUUCCAUAAUCAAACAUUUUAGACAUAGAUCAAUAGUCUUUGCCUGAAUCUUCUUUUAUUCACCAGUCACCUAUUUCUUGGAGUACUUCACAAUGACUUACUUUUGGACAUGCUAAAGUUAUUGUAGAACCUUUUCAAUUCUUCACAGAAAUGAAGAACUCAAACAAUGUUGAGGCAACGCAGAACUUCUCCAGAACCCAUGAUUUCAGGAAUUUUCCACACUUUAUGACAAAUAUUAUACGUAGCCUUAUCCAUUUUGAAAUUGUAUCCUCUGGGAUAUAAAAUUUAGUGCAUUGGUAAUUGUAUCUUGGUAAAGACCCUAGCUGGAAAUAAAUGAACCAAAGUCCUUACCAGACUAUCUUUUCCAAAGAAGCAGGCUCAAGAAAAUACUUAUUAUUCACCUUGUCAGGAUUGGAUGUAAACCUGAAAUGAAAAAUUAGCACAAUCAAUCCAAUAUGUUUUUUCUCCAAAUGUUACCAACUUCUAUACCUUUUCAGUAAUUUUCUGAAGCAUCGAGCGCUAAGUCAGGUUGUUCAAGAGUAGAAAGCAGGAGACCAGUAAAGAACUUACACUAUUCACUCUAGUUAAAACUGCACGAGCAGUCUUCUCCUCUUCUGAAAGAGAGAAGAAAACAUAGCGAGAAAGGAAACUUCUUCUGUUUACCAGCUACCUUACUUCCCGUUAACUUUCUUAUAUAACCUGUGUUGUUUCCAUUCCCAUAAAGAGAUGCAAUCAAAAUUCAAUAGUGGCUCACUGUGAAGACGUUUUAAGGCCUUGCUAUCAUACUUGCACUCUCCUCUUUCCAGAUACUAUAAAGCACAGAUUAAAGAUUCAACAUCAGAGCUGAGAAGUGUUAUGAGGAAUAACAUAGUUAUAGAAGAAUUUACAUGCCUCCGUUGCCUCUCUUUCUUUUCGAGCCUCAAUGCUCAUCACACACAAUAAGUAGCAACCCCAAUGCACAUAUUAGUGAACUGAUAAAAGCAAUUCCAAAAAUGAAUUCAAUAUCAACAUAUUACAGCAUCAACCACAGUCGCAAUAAAAAUCAGUGACAAUGAAAUGCAACUAUUCAUAGGUUUUGGCCUCGUAACAUAGAAUGUAACACAAAUGCAUAUUGAAUUGUGAUUGGUUUAUCGAAGAGACUACUUAAGCUUCAUAUUCAAGACAAAACUAACAAAAAAUUAUCUUGAAAAGAAAACAUCAAUUUAGUACAAUCUACUCAAUUUAGGGUGUGUUUGGUAUGAAGGAAAACAUUUUCUGGAAAAUGUUUUUCAAUUUUCUCAUGUUAGGUUGGGUUAAAUGUUUUGGAAAAUAUUUUCCAAAUCAACUCAUUUUCCUCAAAUUUAAGGAAAAUGACUUCCCUUCAAAACUUAAGGAAAACAUUUUCCAAAACUCUCUGCCAACUUCAAAUUACAAUUAUAUUUUUGUUGAAAAAAUCAAUUUAUUUUGUCCCAACCCCUCAAACCAACCCCCCAAAAAAUAAAAAUAAUUUAAGGCUUGUUUUUAAAUUCAAUUUUUU
rnacentral:lncRNA from 1 species